rnacentral:rRNA from 1 species
GACGGGGGAUGCAAGUGUUAUCCGGAAUUAUUGGGCGUAAAGCGCGCGCAGGUGGUUUCUUAAGUCUGAUGUGAAAGCCCACGGCUCAACCGUGGAGGGUCAUUGGAAACUGGGAGACUUGAGUGCAGAAGAGGAAAGUGGAAUUCCAUGUGUAGCGGUGAAAUGCGUAGAGAUAUGGAGGAACACCAGUGGCGAAGGCGACUUUCUGGUCUGUAACUGACACUGAGGCGCGAAAGCGUGGGGAGCAAACAGG